rnacentral:rRNA from 1 species
UAGGGAAUCUUCCGCAAUGGACGAAAGUCUGACGGAGCAACGCCGCGUGAGUGAUGAAGGUUUUCGGAUCGUAAAGCUCUGUUGUUAGGGAAGAACAAGUACCGUUCGAACAGGGCGGUACCUUGACGGUACCUACCCAGAAAGCCACGGCUAACUACGUGCCAGCAGCCGCGGUAAUACGUAGGUGGCAAGUGUUGUCCGGAAUUAUUGGGCGUCAAGGGCUCGCGGGCGGUUUCUUAAGUCUGAUGUGAAAGCCCCCGGCUCAACCGGGGAGGGUCAUUGGAAACUGGGGAACUUGAGUGCAGAAGAGGAGAGUGGAAUUCCACGUGUAGCGGUGAAAUGCGUAGAGAUGUGGAGGAACACCAGUGGCGAAGGCGACUCUCUGGUCUGUAACUGACGCUGAGGAGCGAAAGCGUGGGGAGCGAACA